rnacentral:rRNA from 1 species
UGGCUCAGGAUGAACGCUAGCUACAGGCUUAACACAUGCAAGUCGAGGGGCAGCAUGUUGGUUGCUGCAACCAAUGAUGGCGACCGGCGCACGGGUGAGUAACGCGUAUCCAACCUUCCCCUUAGUAGAGGAUAGCCCGGCGAAAGUCGGAUUAAUACUCUAUGUUCUUCAAUGCGGACAUCUAAGUUGAAGCAAAGAUUUAUCGCUAAGGGAUGGGGAUGCGUCUGAUUAGGUUGCAGGCGGGGUAACGGCCCACCUGGCCUACGAUCAGUAGGGGUUCUGAGAGGAAGGUCCCCCACACUGGUACUGAGACACGGACCAGACUCCUACGGGAGGCAGCAGUGAGGAAUAUUGGUCAAUGGGCGCGAGCCUGAACCAGCCAAGUAGCGUGCAAGGACGACUGCCCUAUUGGGUUAGUAAACUGUCUUUUAUCAGGGAAUAAAGUGAGGCACGCGUGCCUUUUUGUAUGUACCUGAUGAAUAAGGACCGGCUAAUUCCGUGCCAGCCGCCGC